GCGCGCUCGCGACCCUGCGCGGGCCGGCGGGCGGGUCUGAGUUGGGGCGCCCUCCGAGGGUCGCCGGGAGGGCCGAAGGGCUGACGGGCCUGGCCCCUCCCCGGGACUGCCGCGCCGUGGGGAGGGCCCUGCUGCGCCCCGAAACUGCCUGACCCGGGGCGGGGCCGCGCCGGAGCUGGGGUGGGUCCCCGAGUCCCCGGCCACGCUGCGGGGCUUUGCUCCCUGGGACGUCCCUUGCAAUCUUUCCCCUCGGGCUCCACGAGGAUCUCGGGCGCCAGUGCCGGGCUGAGGAAGGGGCGCGGCGGGGGUCCGCGACGCUCUGCGUCCCUGGGCGCGGGGGAGCUCUCAGGAGCCCUCACCUCGCCCCGGUCACCAUAGGAAACAGCCCGCCCGUCCCCAAGCGCAGCCACCACCAUGCAGGUCCCUCCACGGGGCGCCCUGCCCCGGAUCUCCGUUCGUUUGAAGACCGAGGCCCCUUUCUACCCGACCCGACACAUCCCUGCCCCUCAAAUCACAGGCCUGAUUGUCCCCAGGCGCGCGCUCCGGGUUGGGGCUACCCCGCCCCCUUAUGUGCUGAGAAGGUGGUGUGGAGUGAGGCCUUUGUUUCAUUCUGGUCACCUGUAGACAUUAUAGGGAAACUGAGGUAGACAAUGGGAGCCCUGACUUUUUUGAAGGUCGGCUCCCCAGCUUCGGGCGGUCGGGGGGAUACCCUCUUCUGUUUACGAUGCUAGUUAAGAGCAGCGAUCAGGGCUGGCGUGGGUUUAGCCACAGGCUUGUCCAGGGCGCUCACUCCUCGCCAGGAGCGGCGCCGGUGCUUUGGUUACACCCCGAGAGGCGCCCGGCACUACGGUUUCCUUGUGCGCUGCUGGAAUUUUCAGGGUUGGAGCGCCGGCCGCGUAGGGGUGGCAGUGAGGCCGCGCAGUGAGGGGACGGACUCGCCCGAGGUCGCAGAGCGUUCAGAUUGACUCGACAGGCUGGGGGGCGGGGCCGGGGUCCCCACGCGGAGUCCGGGGCCCUGCAACGUUAGCUCGCGACCCCGUGUUUGGGAGUGACAACAGCGAGUCAGGGCAAGGCGGCCGGCCCAGCUCACCUGCGGGCUGCAGUCAGCCCGGACGCCGAGACCCGUGCCUAAGGCCCCCGUGCCCCAGGCCUCCCAGGGGUGCUGAGCGCCCCCAGGCCCAGAAUCUCCGGGGGCCCGGGCAAGGCUGUCAGGUGCCUGGCACGGUUGCUGUCCAGGGCUUAGAGGACAGAGGAAGAGCCCCUGAGUCUGUGCACACUCUGCCACCAUGGCCCUGCCCACCUCUGGAGCCCACAGGUGCCCAGCCCAGGCCCCUUGCUUUUGGCUAGACUCCUGCCCUACGGGGACCCCCAUGAUGGCCACUCAGGAGAUGGGCCCAGG
rnacentral:lncRNA from 1 species